UACGUAGGGGGCAAGCGUUGUCCGGAUUUAUUGGGCGUAAAGAGCGUGUAGGCGGCCAGGUAGGUCUGCUGUGAAAACUCGAGGCUCAACCUCGAGACGUCGGCGGAAACCAUCUGGCUAGAGUCCGGAAGAGGAGAGUGGAAUUCCUGGUGUAGCGGUGAAAUGCGCAGAUAUCAGGAAGAACACCCGUGGCGAAGGCGGCUCUCUGGGACGGUACUGACGCUGAGACGCGAAAGCGUGGGGAGCGAACGGG
rnacentral:rRNA from 1 species